GCCUGGUUAGCUCAGCUGGUUAGAGCGUCGUACUAAUAUCUUAGAUUUGAGAUAUCAAGUAAUGCGAAGGUCAACAGUUCAAUCCUGUUACUGGGCA